GGGGGUAUAGUUUAAUUGGUAAAACAUCGAUUUUGCAUAUCGGCUUUUCGGGAUCGAGUCCUGAUAUCUCCA
rnacentral:tRNA from 1 species